rnacentral:piRNA from 1 species
UGAACAUAGGAUCAGUUUAUAAAUGUAGC